UGCCAGGUAAACCUGUGUGGUGCAUUUUAGGGUUAUAACACAUGCAAAUUACCCAAUCCUGACAUGGGGAGGUAGUGACAAUAAAUAACAAUAUUGGGCUCAUCGAGUCUGGUAAUUGCAAUGAGUACAAUCUAAAUCCCUUAACGAGGAUCCAUUGGAGGGAAAGUCUGGUGCCAGCAGCCGCGGUAAUUCCAGCUCCAAUAGCGUAUAUUUAAGUUGUUGCAGUU
rnacentral:ncRNA from 1 species